CUCUAAGUAGGAUAAUUUAAUCCAAUGACUUUAGGAGUCAUUAAUAGUCUUUUUAAUUAAGAACUCUUAGAUA
rnacentral:tRNA from 1 species